rnacentral:rRNA from 1 species
UACGUAGGGACCGAGCGUUGUCCGGAAUCAUUGGGCGUAAAGAGCGUGUAGGCGGCCUGUUAAGUCUUGCGUGAAAUCUCGGGGCUCAACCCCGAGCGGUCGUGAGAAACUGGCAGGCUAGAGUGCGGGAGAGGAGAGUGGAAUUCCUGGUGUAGCGGUGAAAUGCGCAGAUAUCAGGAAGAACACCCGUGGCGAAAGCGGCUCUCUGGGACGGUACUGACGCUGAGACGCGAAAGCGUGGGGAGCGAACAGG